GGAGGGUUGGCUGAGCGGUUUAAAGCGCUGGUUUCGAAAACCAGUUUCCCGGAAACGGGAUCGGGGGUUCAAAUCCUCCACCCUCCGCCA
rnacentral:tRNA from 1 species